UCACGGCCAUAGAGCUCAAUAACUUCCGCAUCCCGUCCGAUCUGCGCAGACAAACUGAGCAUCGGAAGGUCAGUACCCAGGUCGGGGACGACUGGGGAAUCCCUUCUGCUGUGAUU